rnacentral:lncRNA from 1 species
CUGGAAGAAACAAGUAGGAGGGUCAGACAAAUACCAAAGUUACUCUAAUUUGGAGUUCAUAGCAAAAAAAACAGUAGUCAUCAACAUGCUAAGGUAAUGUUGAAUCGUGUUUACAAAGCGAUAAUUUAGGAGCAUGGGAAAAUGGAGUAACAUUCAACAAUAAAUGGUCAUAGGUGCAUCAGUUUUUUUUUGUCAUUAUGCACCAGCAUAGUUGCAAAAAAGGUAAUACAUAACUACUCUAGUCUUCAUGCUACAUUUUUAAGACGCAAAUAUAGAAUGGCAGAAUAAACAGAUCUUACUCUCUUAGGAUAAGUAUGGUAUUAAGUAGAUUGGCGCAGGAACAUAUCAGAUUUGAAGAAAAAAUGUAAUAGCAGGUGAAAGAGUUAAAGCUAAAAAAAUACAUUAAAAUGAUGGAUUGUCAUGUUAUCAUAAAAAAUUUGGAGCGCAUCAUUUAGCCAAAACCAAACUUUACAAUGGCUAGCUUAGUAACAUUGUAUUAGUUACCCAAGGUCCUAACAAUGAAGAAUGCAUAAACUAACAAACUUUCCCCAAAUAACCUUCUAACCACACUGGGCUUAAACUCAAAUAAGGUACAUUUGCAUAAAGGGUAUGUUUGGUUGGUGCCAAAUUUGCCCUGCCAAAGAUCUAGCUGCCAAUUGAAGCUUAAUCAAACUAAAUUUAAAGGUUAGGCUGGUAUUUGGGGCCAUUUAUACAGUUUAAUGAGCAUUACAAGUUUACUAUGGGUGUUUUAUAGUGGAUAUUUAUUUUUUAUAACAAAUCCUACCAGGCUUAUAUAGUAUGAAGCAUUAUCAAGCACAUUAUAAGUUAGUCAAUUCUUUCCUUUUUAUGUAAUGGUCGACCGCUGUCUGUCAGUAAAAACUUACUUCAAACCAAAACUUAAAGGUUAGGCUGGAAUUAGGGGGCAUUUAUACGGUUUAAUGAGCAUUAAAAGUUUACUAGGACCGUUUAUAGUGUGCAAUAUGUAUUUCUCAUCACGAAUAACAUCAUGAAUCAACUAGUAUGAAGCAUUUAUCAAGCACAUUAUAAGCUAUAGUCAAUUCUUCCCUCUUCUGAUGACGCAAUGGUCGUGUACUUUUCUGUUCCAUUCUAUAGAUAGGAAAAAAUUAUCAGUGCUUAAUUUAGUUACUGUGUGAAUAUGUAUAUAAUUAUAUGACUUUUAAGUGCUUCAACCACAUAGAAGGCCAUGCAAGGGUGAGUGAUUGAUAACUAUCUAUCGGUGGUGGUAUGCUCAUCUUGAAGAUAAACCUCCCACUGGAUCUCGCACAAAUAGUUUAGAAUGUGAGCGCCUUUGGAUGGAUUGAUCUGGCACAGAUGGUAGUAUAAUCUUCUUAAACAUGCGGUGUAUUUAGUUUUUUUUUUAACCCUAGCAAGGCAGGGUAUUGUGCUAGUAGUACUAAGUUAAGUCGUAACUCGUAAAUGAAUUGGCGCAUAAUCUAGAGCAGUAAAUCAGGUACCAUGAAGGUUACAACAAAAUAACAUAGCUCUAUGUAUAACCUAUCCUAAGACAAACCAGUUAAAGUCGAGAGCUGAACUCCAUAGGCCACAGGCACAUGCAUUUACUGUCCAACUUUAACUUUCAACCAGGCCAAUUUUACCAAAGACAUGGGAAAACGGAAAUAACUUCUGCUGGCACAAAUAGCUUAGAAUGUGAGUGGCUUUGGAUGGAUUGAUCUAGCACAGAUGGUAGUAUAAUCUUCUUAACAUGCAGUAUAGUUCUUAUUUUUUCAACCCUAGCAAGGCAGGGUCUUGUGCUAGUGGUACAAAGUUAAGUCGUAAGUGAAUUGGCGCAUAAUCUAGAGCAGUAAAUCAGGUACCAUGAAGGUUACAAGAACAUAACAUACUAGCUCUCUGUAUAACAUAUCCUAAGACAAACCAGUUUAAGUAGAUAGCUCCAUAGGCCACAAGCACAUGCAUGCACUGUCCAACUUAAACUUUCGACCAGGCCAAUUUUACCAAAGGCAUGGGAAAACGGAAAUAACUUCUGCUGGCACAAAUAGCUUAGAAUGUGAGUGGCUUUGGAUGGAUUGAUCUAGCACAGAUGGUAGUAUAAUCUUCUUAACAUGCAGUAUAGUUCUUAUUUUUUCAACCCUAGCAAGGCAGGGUCUUGUGCUAGUGGUACAAAGUUAAGUCGUAAGUGAAUUGGCGCAUAAUCUAGAGCAGUAAAUCAGGUACCAUGAAGGUUACAAGAACAUAACAUACUAGCUCUCUGUAUAACAUAUCCUAAGACAAACCAGUUUAAGUAGAUAGCUCCAUAGGCCACAAGCACAUGCAUGCACUGUCCAACUUAAACUUUCGACCAGGCCAAUUUUACCAAAGGCAUGGGAAAACGGAAAUAACUUUUGCUGCAGACCACUACAACUAGCACUAGCAUGUUGAUCUAUCUAUGUGUUUUAAAAUGAUGUGUGCAUGUCCUUCCAGAUCAUACGAUUAGGGUUUCACUGUUAUUUUAACAGACCUGAUUAGACAUCGAGCUUAUCUCCGUAGUGAACAGCGCAAAGCAUUGUUUUUCCGCCAUGGCUAAGGCAAACGAGCAACUAGAACAUCCAAACAAAUUCUCAUUUCGUGAUCCCCCUUCCACCACACCCACACACACCCACCAGAAAUACACACACGAGUAAACAAAAAUCAAAAUACCAAGGCACCGAAAUCGAUACCCGACGGCCCACGCCCCGCCUUAGCUCAGCCAAUAAAUCCACAAACAAAAUCCCCCAAAAUCGCUGAAAUGGACCAGAAGGGAG